CAGGGCCACAAGGCCUCCAGCAGGGGACCUCAGAGCCUAGUCCACCCCAUCACAAUCAGACAACAGCAUUUUAACCAACCCAAUAUUCUCUAAACCUGCUCAGACAAUGAGGUGGUUAAAAUGCUGGUGGCUACUGGCACCUUACGUACACUAAAGCUUCCACCAUUUCUACUGCAGAUGAAGCUGCACUGGAGACAUCACUGGAGAAUGCUUUUCAGACUGUAUAUUGUCUUUAUCACCUAACUGCAACCAUCAUACUGCCUCGUGAACACAUGUGCUGGCAAAACAUCAGGAACUGGAGAAUCAAAGUUUAAAAAAAGAUACUACUCACAAUGAAGAACAGGAGACAGGAUUUGGGUGGAGAAACACUGUAAUGGGUGACAUUCACAUGUUUCCUUGCUUUUGUUUAUAUUUUGUGAAUGAGAUCUUUCAAAAUAAAUGGGAUUUUGAGGAAAUUGUAA